AAACUUAAGAAAAGCAAUUUUUCUGAGUUAGGGAAUAUAAAGAGAAAUUGUAUAAAAUUAGCUUUUAGUUUUAAAAAAGGAUGCAGAAAUAAAAGAGCCUAUCUCCAGCUGGCUGAAGGCCUGGGAAGAAAAUUAUCUGACAAUGUUAUUUGGGAACUGCAGGACAAAUGGUUUCUAGAAGGACUCAUUGAACAUUUGCAGGAAGAGAAGCACGUAGAAGUCAAAUCGUAUUUGUAAAAGGAGUAGAAUGAAAGACAGCUUUACUUUUUUGUCAUGCAACAGGAUUCCAUCUGAAAUGAAACUUGGAGCCAUCACCUUUCCCACUCAGACCUGUUCCAUUUUCACAAUGUGACCUCUUCAGAGAGCAAAAUCAAUAAUGUGUCUGUCUCAAAAGCUCUGGUUGUGGUACUUUUAAGGCUUAUCAUGACUUUCAUAAAAACAGCAAUAAAUGUCCUAAUAAAUGUGCAAUUCUAAAUAACAUAAGGAUAUUUUCUUAAACUGGCUGAGGGC
rnacentral:lncRNA from 1 species